AGCGUGUGUGUGUUUCUUUGUAGAUGUGCCCUGCCUAACCGAACCAACAGGCCAGUGAAGUAAGGGAUUAUUGUGUUUCUGUGCGUCCAGCUCGGGACAAUGGGCUGCUUUGUUUGUCAGCGCUCAGCCUGUAUAUCAGGAAGAGACACAGACAGAGAGCCAGACUCCUCAGAGAGAGAAAGAGGAGAGGCCCCCUGUAGGCUCUGCCAGCACAUAGCCUUCUCUCAAGGCUGUAACUCGAAUUAAACCUGCAGCACUGAGGACCCUCCUCAUCUUUCAGACACGUCUGCCAACAAGUCAUCGUACAGUAGGAUUUGCAGCAUAUGGUACUGUCAGCUAACAAGUAAGAAGGCAAGCUCUUAAAGAUGAUUUCACCAUAUGACUUUUCAAGUUAAAUGUGGUCUACCACUCUCAUUAGGCAGCACAUUGGAACUGGGAGGGGGUUAAUGUGAACGGGAAUCUCUGGCGCCAGGAUUCCUGGAGCUCCCUCUGGUUUUGCCAGUCUACUUUCUGUGGGGUCUAUAAUGGCCCUUCACACUGCCUGUAGUGUUCCAGCUCCAUGGCAACCACUCCAUUCUUCCCCAGGGCUGCCAAGAGAGGACACUCAGAGAAACUUCCACGCCGUUUGACAUGCACUAAGUACUUCACCUAGGUGGUGGUCACACUGGAGACAGAAAGAGUCAUUCAGAAAAGGAUACUUCAGAUUGACCUGAGCCCUAGGACCAUGGCUCAGGACUACCUGACAUGAUGACUCCUUGCUGUCCCCAGUCCACCUGGCCGUGCUGCUGCUCCAGUUUCAACUGUUCUGCCUGCGGCUAUGGAACCCUGACCUGUUCACCGGACGUGCUACCUGUCCCAGACCUGCUGUUUUCAACUCUCUAGAGACAGCAGGAGCGGUAGAGAUACUCUUAAUGAUCGGCUAUGAAAAGCCAACUGACAUUUACUCCUGAGGUGCUGACUUGCUGCACCCUCGACAAUCACUGUGAUUACUAUUAUUUGACCAUGCUGGUCAUUUAUGAACAUUUGAACAUCUUGGCCAUGUUCUGUUAUAAUCUCCACCCGGCACAGCCAGAAAAGGACUGGCCACCCCUCAUAGCCUGGUUCCUCUCUAGGUUUCGGCCUUUCUAGGGAGUUUUUCCUAGCCACCGUGCUUCUACACCUGCAUUGCUUGCUGUUUGGCGUUUUAGGCUGAGUUUCUGUACAGCACUUUGAGAUAUCAGCUGAUGUAAGAAGGGCUAUAUAAAUACAUUUGAUUUGAAUGUACAUUUAAGGUACUCCCCAAAAUAUAUAAAUACAUUCUGUAGAUAUUG